ACAACACUUUAGGGGUGUCCUGUCGCCAAACAGAAAGGCAGGACUGAGAAAUACCCUCUGAACCUGAUACAGUUAGCACUGACGAAGGGAAAAGUUAUGACGAGAUA
rnacentral:ncRNA from 1 species